rnacentral:rRNA from 1 species
GGACUACAAGGGUAUCUAAUCCCGUUUGCUCCCCUGGCUUUCGCGCCUCAGCGUCAGUGGAGGGCCAGCGGACCGCUUUCGCCACCGGCGUUCCUUCCGAUAUCAACGCAUUUCACCGCUCCACCGGAAGUUCCGUCCGCCCCUACCUCCCUCGAGCUCCACAGUAUCAGAGGCACUUUUCCGGUUGGGCCGAAAGAUUUCACCCCUGACUUUUGGAGCCGCCUACGCGCCCUUUAAGCCCAGUGAUUCCGAACAACGUUCGCACGGUUCGUCUUACCGCGGCUGCUGGCAC